GACGGAGGGCGCAAGCGUUGUUCGGAAUUACUGGGCGUAAAGCGCGCGCAGGCGGGGAGGUAAGUCUGGAGUGAAAUUCCGGGGCUCAACUCCGGAGCUGCUUUGGAUACUGUCUUUCUAGGGACCGGUAGAGGCCGGUGGAAUUCCCGGUGUAGCGGUGGAAUGCGUAGAGAUCGGGAAGAACACCCGUGGCGAAGGCGGCCGGCUGGGCCGGGUCCGACGCUGAGGCGCGAAAGCGUGGGGAGCGAACAGG
rnacentral:rRNA from 1 species